UACAGAGGUCUCAAGCGUUGUUCGGAUUCAUUGGGCGUAAAGGGUGCGUAGGUGGCGCCGUAAGUCAGGUGUGAAAUUUCGAGGCUUAACCUCGAAACUGCAUUUGAUACUGCGGUGCUUGAGGACUGGAGAGGAGACUGGAAUUCACGGUGUAGCAGUGAAAUGCGUAGAUAUCGUGAGGAAGACCAGUGGCGAAGGCGGGUCUCUGGACAGUUCCUGACACUGAGGCACGAAGGCCAGGGGAGCAAACGGG
rnacentral:rRNA from 1 species